UAACACGUAUGCAACCUGCCCUCUUCAGGGGGACAACCUUCCGAAAGGGAGGCUAAUCCCGCGUAUAUCGGUUUCGGGCAUCCGAGAUCGAGGAAAGAUUCAUCGGAAGAGGAUGGGCAUGCGGCGCAUUAGCUUGACGGCGGGGUAACGGCCCACCGUGGCGACGAUGCGUGGGGGUUCUGAGAGGAAGGUCCCCCACACUGGUACUGAGACACGGACCAGACUCCUACGGGAGGCAGCAGUGAGGAAUAUUGGUCAAUGGGAGAGAUCCUGAACCAGCCAAGCCGCGUGAGGGAAGACGGCCCUAUGGGUUGUAAACCUCUUUUGUCGGAGAACAAAACCCGGGACGUGUCCCGGACUGCGUGUAUCCGAAGAAAAAGCAUCGGCUAACUCCGUGCCAGCAGCCGCGGUAAUACGGAGGAUGCGAGCGUUAUCCGGAUUUAUUGGGUUUAAAGGGUGCGUAGGCGGUCCGUUAAGUCAGCGGUAAAAUUGCGGGGCUCGACCCCGUCGAGCCGUUGAAACUGGCAGACUUGAGUUGGCGAGAAGUACGCGGAAUGCGCGGUGUAGCGGUGAAAUGCAUAGAUAUCGCGCAGAACUCCGAUUGCGAAGGCAGCGUACCGGCGCCACACUGACGCUGAGGCACGAAAGCGUGGGGAUCGAACAGGAUUAGAUACCCUGGUAGUCCACGCAGUAAACGAUGAAUGCUGGUUGU
rnacentral:rRNA from 1 species